rnacentral:rRNA from 1 species
GACGAACGCUGGCGGCGUGCUUAACACAUGCAAGUCUAACGGAAAGGCCCUGCUUUUGUGGGGUGCUCGAGUGGCGAACGGGUGAGUAACACGUGAGUAACCUGCCCUUGACUUUGGGAUAACUUCAGGAAACUGGGGCUAAUACCGGAUAGGAGCUCCUGCUGCAUGGUGGGGGUUGGAAAGUUUCGGCGGUUGGGGAUGGACUCGCGGCUUAUCAGCUUGUUGGUGGGGUAGUGGCUUACCAAGGCUUUGACGGGUAGCCGGCCUGAGAGGGUGACCGGCCACAUUGGGACUGAGAUACGGCCCAGACUCCUACGGGAGGCAGCAGUGGGGAAUAUUGCACAAUGGGCGGAAGCCUGAUGCAGCAACGCCGCGUGCGGGAUGACGGCCUUCGGGUUGUAAACCGCUUUCGCCUGUGACGAAGCGUGAGUGACGGUAAUGGGUAAAGAAGCACCAGCUAACUACGUG